UACAUGCAUUGACUCACUCAUAUCCCUGUAAAAGAUUCAAGGUAGUAGUUUAUUCUUCCAUGAACAUCAAAUGACCUCAUAGCCUUCAACUGCCCUGAUUAAAUCGGCACAUCCCAUUUGUGGGUGCUGUGCUCUUAAGCAUGGUGCCCAAAAACUUGCAAGGUUGUGCCACUGUGCGAGAUCACAGAGCCCCAAAACGCACGUUAAUCAAUUCAGAAUUCAUACAGUAAUCAUGUCCUUAAAAGAUGCUUGUUAACUGGAGAAACUAUGUACUGAAUUCUUGGAGAAACCUGGGACUCAGCUAUGUAGCUGCAAAUAAAAUGUUUUAAAUGUAUUGUAAAGUACAAUAUACAAAUGCAACACUAGAUGGCAACAGUGAGCUAUGUCAAAUUCAAUGCAUUUUUCAAAACUUUUUUUUUAAAAAACAAACAUUUUCACAGCCUUUUUUUAUAUGUAUAUAGAUUCCACCCUGGUGUUUGUUCUGUGGUACAAGGCCAAUGAGAUGCCCAGUGAGUGUUCGGAAGCAUUCUUCAAACUCAAAAUCCCCUUGGGGAUCAUACUAGCAAGAAUAUUGGCACUGAAGGUGUCAUUCUGAUUGACUGACAGUGCUUUCAGUAACGGAUUGGUGGUGGUUUUGGCCUGUGAACUAUGGAGCGAAGAAAUUACCUUACGCGGAGAGAUCCAUCUGAACAAUUUACUACUCUACCAAGUGAGUGAUUCUUUCCAGAGGAUGGAAAGAGUGAUUUAAAGACACUCAGAAAUUUAUUGGGUGUGAUAGAAGUGAAGAACAGCUGCAAGGAGGGAUGACUUCUUUGAGUAACUAAAAUCUUUUGGUGGGAAGAUGCACUCCAUCACUCUGCUCUACAAAAAAGUCAUGCUUCACUUCUCUUGUAGGGAUAUAAUAGAUGAUCGUUAUAAAGUACUAAUAUACUGGGUAAUGAUACAUACAGUUAUUAUUUUCUUCAUUAUCAAUAAUCUCCUGCAGUGGAUCUGAAUAAGACAGUAUCAUUCUUCAAUUAAUAAAUUGGACUCUUACGUUUGCAUGUGGUGUGAGAAGUAUGUUUCUGAAUCCUGCACAACUCCUGGGUACAGUGUGC